AACGAACGCUGGCGGCAUGCCUAACACAUGCAAGUCGAACGAGACCUCCGGGUCUAGUGGCGCACGGGUGCGUAACGCGUGGGAACCUGCCCUUAGGUUCGGAAUAACUCUCCGAAAGGGGUGCUAAUACCGGAUAAUGUCUUCGGACCAAAGAUUUAUCGCCUUUGGAGGGGCCCGCGUUGGAUUAGCUAGUUGGUAGGGUAAAAGCAUACUAAGGCGACGAUCCAUAGCUGGUCUGAGAGAAUGAUCAGCCACACUGGGACUGAGACACGGCCCAGACUCCUACGGGAGGGAGGAGUGGCGAAUAUUGCACAGUGGGCGGAGGCCUGAUCCAGCAAUGCCGGGUAAGUGAUGAAAGCCUUAGGGUUGUAAAGCUCUUUUACCCGGGAUGAUAAUGACAGUACCGGGAGAGUAAGCUCCGGCUAACUCCGUG
rnacentral:rRNA from 1 species